GACGAACGCUGGCGGCGUGCUUAACACAUGCAAGUCGAACGGAAAGGCCCUGCUUUUGUGGGGUGCUCGAGUGGCGAACGGGUGAGUAACACGUGAGUAACCUGCCCUUGACUUUGGGAUAACUUCAGGAAACUGGGGCUAAUACCGGAUAGGAGCUCCUGCUGCAUGGUGGGGGUUGGAAAGUUUCGGCGGUUGGGGAUGGACUCGCGGCUUAUCAGCUUGUUGGUGGGGUAGUGGCUUACCAAGGCUUUGACGGGUAGCCGGCCUGAGAGGGUGACCGGCCACAUUGGGACUGAGAUACGGCCCAGACUCCUACGGGAGGCAGCAGUGGGGAAUAGUGCACAAUGGGCUGAAGCCUGAUGCAGCAACGCCGCGUGCGGGAUGACGGCCUUCGGGUUGUAAACCGCUUCCGCCUGUGACGAAGCGUUAGUGACGGUAAUGGGUAAAUAAGCACCGGCUAACUACGUG
rnacentral:rRNA from 1 species